rnacentral:rRNA from 1 species
UACGUGAGGUGCAAGCGUUAAUCGGAAUUACUGGGCGUAAAGCGUGCGCAGGCGGUGAUGUAAGACAGUUGUGAAAUCCCCGGGCUCAACCUGGGAACUGCAUCUGUGACUGCAUCGCUGGAGUGCGGCAGAGGGGGAUGGAAUUCCGCGUGUAGCAGUGAAAUGCGUAGAUAUGCGGAGGAACACCGAUGGCGAAGGCAAUCCCCUGGGCCUGCACUGACGCUCAUGCACGAAAGCGUGGGGAGCAAACAGG